rnacentral:sRNA from 1 species
CUGGAGUGGUGGCCUCCUGGCCCGUCCUUGGAAGCCUGGGCUGAGGCCAUGACUGUGUGGUCCCUCAGCCUGGGCACGUUUGGGCAUGUGGGGGUCCUGGGUUUGGGCAGCUCCAGGGCAGUUGUGGCAUGAGCGGCCACAGGCACGGAGCCCCCUGGGCUCACACUGGCAUCCUUGGACGGAGGACGGCUCCCCUGAGGCGUCUGUCCCCUCUCCGUCCCACCUGCCUCUGGAUUGCAGCUGCAACUGCAAUUCCCAGCCCCCGACCCCCGUGAAGAUCGCCGUGGCGGGAGCGCAGCAUUACCUCAGUGCCAUCCUGCGGCUCUUUGUGGAGCAGCUGUCCCACAAGACACCCGACUGGCUCGGCUACAUGCGCUUCCUGGUCAUCCCGCUGGGCUCCCACCCCGUGGCCAGGUACCUAGGCUCCGUGGACUACCGCUACAACAACUUCUUCCAGGACCUGGCCUGGAGAGACCUGUUCAACAAGCUGGAGGCCCAGAGUGCGGUACAGGACACGCCAGACAUUGUGUCACGCAUCACGCAGUACAUCGCAGGGGCCAACUGUGCCCACCAGCUCCCCAUCGCAGAGGCCAUGCUGACCUACAAGCAGAAGAGCCCUGACGAAGAGUCCUCCCAAAAGUUCAUUCCCUUUGUCGGGGUUGUGAAGGUUGGAAUUGUGGAGCCAUCCUCGGCCACAUCAGGCGACUCGGACGACGCGGCCCCCUCGGGCUCUGGCACGCUCUCCUCCACCCCGCCGUCCACAUCUCCUGCGGCCAAGGAGGCCUCACCCACCCCACCCUCCUCCCCGUCGGUGAGCGGAGGCCUGUCCUCCCCCAGCCAGGGUGUCGGCGCCGAGCUGAUGGGGCUGCAGGUGGACUACUGGACGGCAGCACAGCCUGCGGACAGGAAGAGGGACGCCGAGAAGAAGGACCUGCCUGUCACCAAAAACACGCUCAAGUGCACUUUCCGGUCCCUCCAGGUCAGCAGGCUGCCCAGCAGCGGCGAGGCUGCAGCCACGCCCACCAUGUCCAUGACCGUGGUCACCAAGGAGAAGAACAAGAAGGUGAUGUUUCUGCCCAAGAAAGCGAAGGACAAGGACGUGGAGUCUAAGAGCCAGUGCAUUGAGGGCAUCAGCCGGCUCAUCUGCACUGCCAGGCAGCAGCAGAACAUGCUGCGGGUCCUCAUCGACGGCGUGGAGUGCAGCGACGUCAAGUUCUUCCAGCUGGCCGCGCAGUGGUCCUCGCACGUGAAGCACUUCCCCAUCUGCAUCUUCGGACACUCCAAGGCCACCUUCUAGCCCCACCCACCAAGGGGCCCACCUCCUGCCCCAUGCUGUGAGGGGCCCAGCUGCAUUUCUGUUAACAUUUCAGUUUACUACAGAGACAGACGCUUAAAACACAAAGAGAAACAGUCUUAAGUAUGAAUGUGCUCACAACGUGGAAACUAACGGGGGAGCUCCCGCCGGGAGCCGAAUAACUGCUCUGCUUAUUAACCCGAACGUUCGGCCCGGGGCUGGGAAGCCAGAAGGACGGUGCUGAGCCAUGGAUCGCGGAAGGCGUCCUCUGGCCUCAGGAGCCACCCAGAGCCUCACAGGCUGAGUUCUUGCCUCUGUGUCCUGUCCUUCCUGGAAGUCAGGACUCUGCUUCCCCAGGGAGCCCGGGGCAGGCGGAGCUCAGUGGCCACAGGCCGAGGGCCAUGGGGCCGCUCAGUCCCGUUGGGGGUGUCCUGAGUUGAGCCUGGGGGGGCCGUCCUGCCUGCCUAAGAGAUGCCCCCAGCACCGCACACUCGUGGUUCCCAAUAAACUCCUGCCUGCGGCGGAGGUUUUAUAGCAGCAGAUAUUUUUAAUGCUUUUCAAUACAUGUUCUAAUGUAGCUGC